GAAAAACUGAAUGGAUAAAUGAUGCAGGACGGGUGCGGUGGCUCAUGCCUGUAAUCCCAGCACUUUUGGAGCCAAGGCAGGCAGAUCACAAGUGUGAAGUCCUUUGUGAAUGAGCCACAUUUUUUACUCAUUCAAGUCCCUACAGCAUAAUCACAUAGAUUAACUCACUUGGAUCGUUAAUUGUUACACUGUAAGAACUCCACAAACUUGAUCAGAGAGAUUCCACUUAUUUCAAAGUUACUGAGGCCAGAACAGUUCUCCCUCAUCCCUUCAAGCAUGUCUCCUGAUGUCUCCCAAAGAAUGCACUCCUCUGGCCUAUGCCUGAUUACUCUGCAGAAACUCCCGUGGUUUCUGCGAUCUCAGCAACUUCUGUCACAGAGGCUCUGGAAAUACUCUACUGAAAACGUUCAUGGAUAGAAGGACACUUCUAUAAAAGACGGAGUUGGUUGUACUUCCCAUGAAACCAUUAUUGAAGACACACAUUUGCAUAACAGCAAUGAGAGAAAAAGUAGAUUCCCGAGGAGAAGCACUGGAAAUUAACAUACAACAUAAAUGUGUCAUAAGAAAAAGUUGAAAAUUGUGGCUUCUAAUGAGUUAUCU
rnacentral:lncRNA from 1 species